rnacentral:rRNA from 1 species
GGUAAUACAUAGGUCACAAGCAUUAUCCGGAUUUAUUGGGCGUAAAGGAAGCGUAGGCGGGGAGGUUGAUCCAUUGUUAAAGGCAUUUGCUCAACAAAUGUGUGCGAUGGAGAUCGCCUCCCUAGAGUUAAUCAGGGGGUACUGGAAUUCAAUGUGUAGCGGUGGAAUGCGUAGAUAUAUUGAGGAACACCAGAGGCUAAGGCGAGUACCUGGGAUUUAACUGACGCUGAGGCUUGAAAGCGUGGGGAGCAAAUGGGAUUAGAUACCCCAGUAGUCCACACCGU